rnacentral:rRNA from 1 species
GAUGAACGCUAGCGGCAGGCCUAAUACAUGCAAGUCGGACGGGAUUUGGGAGCUUGCUCCCAAUGAGAGUGGCGCACGGGUGCGUAACACGUAUGUAACCUACCUUAAUCAGGGGGAUAGCCCCUCGAAAGAGAGAUUAACACCGCAUAACAUCAUGAGAUAGCAUUAUUUUAUGAUCAAAUAUUUAUAGGAUUAAGAUGGGCAUGCGGGACAUUAGCUAGUUGGCGGGGUAACGGCCCACCAAGGCGACGAUGCCUAGGGGAUCUGAGAGGCUGGCCCCCCACACUGGUACUGAGACACGGCCCAGACUCCUACGGGAGGCAGCAGUAAGGAAUAUUGUUCAAUGGGCGCAAGCCUGAACCAGCCGUGCCGCGUGCAGGAAGACGGCCCUACGGGUUGUAAACUGCUUUUGUACCGGAAUAAACCUUGAUAUGUAUAUCAAGCUGAAUGUACGGUAAGAAUAAGGAUCGGCUAACUCCGUGCCAGCCGCCGCCGUAACAC